rnacentral:rRNA from 1 species
CCGAUAGAUCAUCAUGCCUGGAAUGGCCGAUGGUUGAAAUGAUUUAUCGCCAUAGGAUGGGACUGCGAUCUAUCAGCUUGUUGGUGAGGUAAUGGCCCACCAAGGCUAUAACAGAUACGGGCUCUGAGAGGAGAAGCCCGGAGAUGGGUACUGAGACACGGACCCAGGCCCUAUGGGGCGCAGCAGGCGAGAAAACUUUGCAAUGUGCGAAAGCACGACAAGGUUAAUCCGAGUGGUUCCUGCUAAAGGAACCUUUUGCCGGUCCUAAAAACACCGGUGAAUAAGGGGUGGGCAAGUUCUGGUGUCAGCCGCCGCGGUAAAACCAGCACCUCAAGUGGUCAGGAGGAUUAUUGGGCCUAAAGCAUCCGUAGCCGGCUGUGUAAGUUUUCGGUUAAAUCCAUGCGCUCAACGUAUGGGCUGCCGGGAAUACUGCACAGCUAGGGAGUGGGAGAGGUAGACGGUACUCGGUAGGGAGGGGUAAAAUCCACUGAUCUAUCGAUGACCACCUGUGGCGAAGGCGGUCUACUAGAACACGUCCGACGGUGAGGGAUGAAAGCUGGGGGAGCAAACCGGAUUAGAUACCCGGGUAGUCCCAGCUGUAAACAAUGCAAACUCAGUGAUGCGCUGGCUUAAA